GAUAAACGCUGGCGGCGCACAUAAGACAUGCAAGUCGAACGGACUUAACCAUUAGUUUACUAUUGGAGCGGUUAGUGGCGGACUGGUGAGUAACACGUAAGCAACCUGCCUAUCAGAGGGGAACAACAGUUAGAAAUGACUGCUAAUACCGCAUAUGCCUUAAUUACCACAUGGUAAUAGAGGGAAAGGAGCAAUCCGCUAGUAGAUGGGCUCGCGUCUGAUUAGAUAGUUGGUGGGGUAACGGCCUACCAAGUCGACGAUCAGUAGCCGGACUGAGAGGUUGAACGGCCACAUUGGGACUGAGACACGGCCCAA
rnacentral:rRNA from 1 species